CUCUGUGCCUGUAGCUCAGUGGCAGAGAAUUUGCCUUGCACCCAGAGGAUCCUGGGUUCAAUUCUCAAUGGCUGGGAGA